UUUAUUUUAUAAAAUAAUAUUUAAAGUUUAAUUAACAAACUCAUAAUUAUAUAUUUAAAUAAAUACUCAAACGUAGUUGAAUAAGUCCUAAUUAAUUUAGUUUUGAUAACAAUGUUAUUUGUUCGUUGUCAAUAAUAAAUACAAGCGCCAUUCCUAAAAAAAAUUAUUCAAGUCGUUACGAGAAAAAAUAUCUCAGAUAAUACUCAUUACUAUCUCGCAUAGAAGCCACUACUACGUUACACUGUAACCUUCAAUAUGUUAACAUAGACGCAGGUGCUAUCUGCAGAUAGCAGUGGGUAAUAUGUUUAAAGUAACCAUUGCUAUCUGACAUACGACUGGAUGCUAUGUACAAUCGCCAUCAUUAAUGCCUGGAAAAGAAAUUUGAAAGUUGCAACCACUCUGUAUGUUGCCAUAGUUAAGGCGAAAAACAUCCGUUGGCGACAGUGGGAGCAUAGAGGAGUGUGAACUUAGGCCAAGUGAAAGGAAAUGUAUUUAAAGUGGUUAAUAGUUCAAUGACAUAUGUAAACAAACAUAAGGGUUAGUAAAUAAAUAUUAAUUUUUAAUUGUUUAUAUAAAAAACAAUGUUGUGAUUGGUGAAGAACUGUUUAUUAAAGUGUGUAGCUUUAAUUAAUGAAUUAAAAUAAAUAAAAUGUUAUUAAAAGUAAUAAUUGUGAUUUAAAAAUUUCUGAUCUGUAGCGUGCAGUGUUAAACGUGAAAUAUUAAUUAAAAGUUGAAUAAAAUUAAGUGAUUUCAAUUAAAGAGUAUAUACAAUCACAGACUUUAGGUUAAAUGUGCAUAAGUCUGAGGAAAAGUUCAAUUGGAGCACUUGCUAGUACUCUAGCUAAGUAUACUAUUUACGGAUACUACUGGUUAUAAGAUGUUAUAAGGUAGCUAGGACGAAUUCUAGGACAAAUUCACUAAGAUGAAAUUGAAGUUUUUGGUGGACUCUGGCUGAGGAUACUAUUUUUACAAAGACUGCUGGUUAUAAAGUAUUUACUAGUUAUGGUGAUUAUUAUCUGGGCAAAUCUGCUCGAGGCUGAUUGGAUGUUAAAUUGGAGCAUUACGUUGGAUCCCGGCUGAGGACUUUCUCUUCAUUGCGAGUACUGGCCAUUAAUUUAUGGAUGUACAGGCUACUUAAAAAAUUUCCCAAUGAAAUUUUCACGGAUUUAAUGAAGAAUUUAAUUGGAAUACUCCAAAAGACUCUGGCUCAGGAUUUCAUUUGAUUUUCUCUGUUGGUAAUCGUACAUUUCUCCAUUAUGAUUUCAUUUUCCAAUAUAUUAAUUAAACAAAUUCUGUGAAUUCGUAUUAAAAAAAAAACAAAUAUAAAUCAAUUCGUACCUUUAGUAACAAUGAAGACUUUGUCCCUUGUUAAUAAAAAAAAAGUACAUCAAAAAUAAAUAUACUUAUUACUUACUAAUGUUCAAAAAUUUUAUUAUUCUAUAUAUGUAUAUAUUUUAAUUUAUAUAAUUAACGAAUCAAUUAUUCUAGAGAGAUUAUGAAUUUUUUUUUAAAUUUUUGUGUUUAUAUUUAACUGUAUUUAACUGGAAAUGAAGUCAAUGUAUAGAUAAUAUAAGAAUACAACAAUAUAUAUAUAUAUAUAUGCAUUUCAUUUAAUUUUUUUAUUAUAUAUGUAUAGCAAUUAUCUUGACAGUCAUUUUUUAUUUAAGAAGUAACAAUUACGAUCGAGAAUUUCAGUUGUUUUUAGUGUUCACUUCAUUUAUUCAUUCGUCACCGGUUACCAUCGCAUCAUCACUUGCCACUAUGAUCUCUCCAAACAAAUGGACUUUUAAUGAAGAAUAUGCAAUGGUUCGUUCUCGUCUCCUGGAACAUGGGACGGAUUAUAAGUUUAAUCGUUUACGAGACGAUGACCUUGGCAUAUGGGAAAUUAUUUCUCAAGAUCCAAUUCUCGUAAACGGAAAAAAAGAUGCUACGAUGUGCCGGGACCGGUUCUUCGACAUCAUUGAUGAUUUUUUGGUUUAUUUUAACAUGUCAGACAGGCAACGAAUGUCGGUGAACUUGCCUGCACAUUACAUGCUUUUUCAAUAUUAUCUCACUCAAUGUGAUGCAGUUUUUUAGAAAAAUUGGGCUGAGUAAAAAUUAAAAGUGAUCUCCAAAAUGAAAAUGAAUAAAAUUUUUUUGGAUUCUUAACAAAUUAAUCAUAUUCGUCGUAAUCUAUUACAUAAUUUUUCCCAAUAUUAUAU